ACAACCUAUAAAUAAUUAGUCGGAAUAUUUAAAAGAUCAGCAUAUGUACCUCGCAGACCGCCGUAGUGUGAUGUGGGCGCAGUUCAUUGAAAACAUGGCAGCUGCGUGGACUGAAGGAACACAACUCUUCACUCGUUGCAAAGGCAGUAACAGGGCUCUUCAGGUUUAUUC